ACUAGGAUAAGAUACCCUAUUAUAAAAGAUGUAAAAUUUUAAGCUAAAUUAGUAUUAGUUAUGAUCUUUAAAGUUAAAGAAUUCGGCGGUAUUUUAGUCUAUUUAGAGGAACCUGUCCUAUAAUCGAUGAUCCACGAUUUAUUUUACUUAUUUUAAUUAGUUUGUAUAUCGUCGUAGUUAGAAUAUUUUAAAAGAAUUUAAUAUUCAAGAUUCUUAAUGAUGAAGGAAAUCAGAUCAAGGUGCAGAAAAUAAAUAAGAAGA
rnacentral:rRNA from 1 species